GCGGUAUAAACUAUUAUGCAAGUGAUACACCAUGUAAACAUAUGGACUUAGAAAAAUGCAUGUAAAAUUAUUAUUCAAGGUGAUUUUCUUGCAAAAGUAGAUUUUUCAAAUGCAUAUAGAAGUGUGAAAUUAUUAAUAACCCGUUGACUGGGUUAAACUGGCUAUUUCAACGUGAUAAUCAAGAUACAUUUUUCUAUGGCACUAAGUUACCUUUUGGAACAGCACAAAGCCCAAGUACUUUUCAAAGACUUAGUGUGUAGAACUAUGAAAUCAAAAUAUAAUUUUUGUGUUAUUGCAUAUAUAGAUGUUUUUUUAAUUACAGAGUCUACUUAUGAUAGAUGCUCUGCUGCUCUUACUUGUGUGAUUAAGCUAUUGCGAAAAUUAGGUUUUUACAUAAAAUGGAAUAAAUUUGAAGGACCUUCACAGCGUUUAAUAUUUUUAGGUAUUUUGAUAGCUACAUGUCUACCCUUCAUUAUACUGAUUGCAUUAUUAAUUGCAUUAUAUCAUGAUUAAAAAUGUGGCCCAAUACACAGCCUUAUGUUUAUUUGUCACAUAUAUAUAUAUAUAUUUGCCAAACUUGGAAUCAAAUACUAAAUCAAAUGCUUGGAUAUUUGAUGUGAAUGUACCCGUCUUUUUUGGUUCGAAAUGAUUUUUUUUAUUUAUAUUGGAAUGGACAUUACUGACACUAUUUAUUUUCAGCUAGGUGAAACAUUUGUUUGUAAUCUCUGCUGGUAUGUUUUCCUUAAAUUUUCCUUUUUUUGAAGGUACUUCCAUGUUCUCAUUAAUUCUCUAUUUUAACGCUUCUGUCGGCAGGAUGAACAUUCUGUGAUUAAUCGAUAACCAAAGUUUCGAGCCACUUGCUCAAAUUUUUCAUCGAUAUCAUUGUGAAGCACUUGCUUUCUAGAGUUCUUAUAAAACACAUCGACAUCAUGGUCUUUAUAAGCACAUUCAACUAAUCGUUGAAGCGUAACACAACAUUGGUUUUUAUUCUCUCUUUUAUCUGUUACUUUUAUCGCAUACAGGAUAGGUGGCGAUG
rnacentral:lncRNA from 1 species